rnacentral:rRNA from 1 species
GUAGGGAAUCUUCGGCAAUGGACGAAAGCCUGACCGAGCAACGCCGCGUGAGUGAAGAAGGUUUUCGGAUCGUAAAACUCUGUUGUUAGAGAAGAAUGUUGAUUAGAGUGGAAAAUUAAUCAAGUGACGGUAUCUAACCAGAAAGGGACGGCUAACUACGUGCCAGCAGCCGCGGUAAUACGUAGGUCCCGAGCGUUGUCCGGAUUUAUUGGGCGUAAAGCGAGCGCAGGUGGUUUAAUAAGUCUGAUGUAAAAGGCAGUGGCUCAACCAUUGUGUGCAUUGGAAACUGUUAGACUUGAGUGCAGUAGAGGAGAGUGGAAUUCCAUGUGUAGCGGUGAAAUGCGUAGAUAUAUGGAGGAACACCGGUGGCGAAAGCGGCUCUCUGGACUGUCACUGACACUGAGGCUCGAAAGCGUGGGUAGCAAACAGGAUUAGAAACCCCUGUAGUCC